AGAGUUUGAUCAUGGCUCAGGAUGAACGCUAGCGGCAGGCUUAAUACAUGCAAGACGAACGGUAACUGUUGUAGCAAUACAAUAGCUAGAGUGUCGUACGGGUGCGUAACACGUAUGCAACCUACCUUGUACAGGAGGAUAGCUCGGGGAAACUCGAAUUAACCCUCCAUAACAUCAUGGAAUGGCAUCAUUUUAUGAUUAAAACUUCGGUGGUACAAGAUGGGCAUGCGUCUGAUUAGUUAGUUGGCGGUGUAACGGACCACCAAGACGAUGAUCAGUAGGGGACCUGAGAGGGUGAUCCCCCACACUGGCACUGAGAUACGGGCCAGACUCCUACGGGAGGCAGCAGUAGGGAAUAUUGGUCAAUGGGUGAGAGCCUGAACCAGCCAUGCCGCGUGCAGGAAGAAGGCGUUAUGCGUUGUAAACUGCUUUUGCCAGGGGAUAAAAUAACUGUGCGCAGUUGAUUGAAGGUACCUGGUGAAUAAGCCACGGCUAACUACGUGCCAGCAGCCGCGGUAAUACGUAGGUGGCAAGCGUUGUCCGGAUUUAUUGGGUUUAAAGGGUGCGUAGGUGGCUAUCUAAGUCAGUGGUGAAAUAUCUCAGCUUAACUGAGAGGGUGCCAUUGAUACUGGAUAGCUUGAGUACAGAUGAGGUAGGCGGAAUUGACGGUGUAGCGGUGAAAUGCAUAGAUAUCGUCAAGAACACCGAUAGCGAAGGCAGCUUACCAAGCUGUAACUGACACUGAGGCACGAAAGUGUGGGGAUCAAACAGGAUUAGAUACCCUGGUAGUCCACACUGUAAACGUUGAUGACUCGAUGUUGGCGAUACACAGCCAGCGUCCAAGAGCAAUCGUUAAGUCAUCCACCUGGGGAGUACGCCGGCAACGGUGAAACUCAAAGGAAUUGACGG
rnacentral:rRNA from 1 species